GUCACCCCUGUCCCCCAAAUGAGGACGGAGUGCUGUGGGAGCCCGUGCUGCAAGACGUGGGAAUUGCAGAGCAGCUGUGACACCCAGCCCAGGCUGGGGACACUGAACUCAGCAGACACGCUCUGUCGGCAGGAAGACCCCUCCGUGCCUUUGGGAGCGCCCCGGGCUCACCUCUCCGACCGGGCCGGGCAUCUCUGAGAAGUCAAGCCAGCACAGCCAGGGGAGUCGCUGCCCUGAGAAGGUGGGCGCCUCGUGUGGCAUCACUGGUGGGGAACCCUGAGCUCCCCGGGCCGAGAGGAAGAGCAGGUGAGGCCUGAUCUUUUGACCAGAAAGGAAUUACAAAGAUACCCCUCCCGGUGGCUGUGACUGUCAGCUGCCUGGAACUUCCUCGAAGGACUUUCAGAGGCACUGGAUUUACAGUGAUACUGGCCCACCGGGGAAGAAGCUGGUGGACACAUUCUCUGGACUAACGCACCCUGCACAAUUGUGGGGCUCUCAGAGACAGCCUGGCCCAAUGCACCCCUGCAGCCUGGAGGGGUCUGUGAAGGACCGUGGAAGAUGGAGGACCGGAGCUGAGCCUCGUCUGAACAGAAGUGUCUGGCAUUAAGAGUCCAGGAUGCCAGGUGGGCCCCGGUGCCCCUGUCCUCGCCUGCACCCUGAUCUGGGAAGGGAAGGUUCCCAGUGAACAGCACCUACCUGCACGAACCGAAUUCUGUGACGCCUGGAGUUAGGUGGCUUUAAUCGGAAAGCAAAACCGCUCACCCAGGGCUGCAGAGGGACUUGAGAAGCGUCCUCCCCUGAACUAAAGCUGCAGUGUCUACAGAGUUCAGAUUUGGCCACUGGGAUGCCUUUCAAGUUGGUCUGUGUCCUUUUGACCUUCACCACCAUCUUUUGACAUUGAUUGGCACCAAGGAUGUAAUGUUCCAGGCUCUCGCUUUUCCUGUCCCUGGGAUCAGCAGUCCCUCCUGCGGUAACCAGUUCCUGUGACCGAGUUUAAUAACGUGGAAGCAUCAGAGAAACCUAAACUGAGGGGCAUUGUCCAAGAUAACUGGUCAGUAGUCUUCAAGGCCAAGGUGACGGAGGAGUAAGUCCAGCUUAACAGAGACCAAGGGGAUGGGAACCAGAUGCACUGUGUAACCCUAUAGGAUUUUGGAGCAGAAAAAGCCACUCUUGGUGAAAUUUGAAUAACGUCUCUGAAUAAAGCAAUAACGUUA